rnacentral:lncRNA from 1 species
ACCCCUGCUGUUCCUCUGGGUCCUGGAACGAGGCGAAGACGUGUAUGAGCCCCGCACGGAGGCGUCCGCCAGCCUGUACUGCUCCGGCGUGCUGGUCCUGACCCGAAGGGUGAGGACCAGCGUAUGAGUCUCUGCCCCU